rnacentral:rRNA from 1 species
AUUGAACGCUGGCGGCAGGCCUAACACAUGCAAGUCGAGCGAGCGGCGGACGGGUGAGUAAUGUCUGGGGAACUGCCCGAUGGAGGGGGAUAACUACUGGAAACGGUAGCUAAUACCGCAUACCAUCGGAUGUGCCCAGAUGGGAUUAGCUAGUAGGUGGGGUAAAGGCUCACCUAGGCGACGAUCCCUAGCUGGUCUGAGAGGAUGAUCAGCCACACUGGGACUGAGACACGGCCCAGACUCCUACGGGAGGCAGCAGUGGGGAAUAUUGCACAAUGGGCGCAAGCCUGAUGCAGCCAUGCCGCGUGUAUGAAGAAGGCCUUCGGGUUGUAAAGUACUUUCAGCGGGGAGGCGUUACUCGCAGAAGAAGCACCGGCUAACUCCGUGCCAGCAGCCGCGGUAAUUC